GUGCCAGCCGCCGCGGUAAUACGUAGGUGGCAAGCGUUAUCCGGAAUUAGUGGGCGUAAAGCGCGCGUAGGCGGUUUUUUAAGUCUGAUGUGAAAGCCCACGGCUCAACCGUGGAGGGUCAUUGGAAACUGGAAAACUUGAGUGCAGAAGAGGAAAGUGGAAUUCCAUGUGUAGCGGUGAAAUGCGCAGAGAUAUGGAGGAACACCAGUGGCGAAGGCGACUUUCUGGUCUGUAACUGACGCUGAUGUGCGAAAGCGUGGGGAUCAAACAGGAUUAGAUA
rnacentral:rRNA from 1 species